GUAAGGAAUAUUGGACAAUGGGCGCAAGCCUGAUCCAGCCAUGCCGCGUGAACGAUGAAGGCCUUCGGGUUGUAAAGUUCUUUAGCCGAUGAUUAUAAUGACUGUAGUCGGAAAAUAAGCCCCGGCUAACUUCGUGCCAGCAGCCGCGGUAAUACGAAGGGGGCGAGCGUUAUUCGGAAUCACUGGGCGUAAAGCGUGCGUAGGCGGUCUCGUAAGUUAGAAGUGAAAGCCCAGGGCUCAACCUUGGAAUUGCUCUUAAAACUGCAAGGCUAGAAUCUCGGAGAGGAUAGCGGAAUUUCCAGUGUAGCAGUGAAAUGCGUAGAUAUUGGAAGGAACACCAGUGGCGUAAGCGGCUAUCUGGACGAGUAUUGACGCUGAGGCACGAAAGCGUGGGGAUCAAACAGGAUUAGAAACCCUAGUAGUCC
rnacentral:rRNA from 1 species